rnacentral:rRNA from 1 species
UACGGGUGGCUGCAGUGGGGAAUAUUGGACAAUGGGGGCAACCCUGAUCCAGCCAUGCCGCGUGUGUGAAGAAGGCCCUCGGGUUGUAAAGCACUUUCAGUGAGGAAGAACGCCUGGUGGUUAAUACCCAUCAGGAAAGACAUCACUCACAGAAGAAGCACCGGCUAACUCCGUGCCAGCAGCCGCGGUAAUACGGAGGGUGCGAGCGUUAAUCGGAAUUACUGGGCGUAAAGCGCGCGUAGGUGGCUUGAUAAGCCGGUUGUGAAAGCCCCGGGCUCAACCUGGGAACGGCAUCCGGAACUGUCAAGCUAGAGUGCAGGAGAGGAAGGUAGAAUUCCCGGUGUAGCGGUGAAAUGCGUAGAGAUCGGGAGGAAUACCAGUGGCGAAGGCGGCCUUCUGGACUGACACUGACACUGAGGUGCGAAAGCGUGGGUAGCAAACAGGAUUAGAUACCCCAGUAGUC